UACGAAGGGGGCUAGCGUUGCUCGGAAUCACUGGGCGUAAAGCGCACGUAGGCGGCUUUUUUAAGUCAGGGGUGAAAUCCUGGAGCUCAACUCCAGAACUGCCUUUGAUACUGAGAGCUUGAGUCCGGGAGAGGUGAGUGGAACUGCGAGUGUAGAGGUGAAAUUCGUAGAUAUUCGCAAGAACACCAGUGGCGAAGGCGGCUCACUUGGCCCGGUACUGACGCUGAGGUGCGAAAGCGUGGGGAGCAAACAGG
rnacentral:rRNA from 1 species